rnacentral:rRNA from 1 species
AUCGGUAUCGGAAGCUUUCUAGGCUAGAGGUCGGCAGAGGCAGAUGGAAUUUCAUGAUGUAGCCAGUCGAAUGCGUAGAUAUCCAUGAAGAACACCAAAUGGCGAAGGGCAGUCUGCUGGGCAACACCUGACACUGAGGAAACGAAAGCGUGGGGUAGCGAACGGGAUUAGAUACCCCGGUAGUGCACGCCGUAAACGAUGCACACUAGGCAUUUGGAGUAUCGACCCUUUCGAGUGCCGAAGCUAACGCGUUAAGUGUGCCGCCUGGGUAGUACGGCCGCAAGGCUAAAACUCAAAGGAAUUGACGGGGACCCGCACAAGCGGUGGAACAUGAGGUUUAAUUCGAUACUAAGCGAAGAACCUUACCAGGACUUGACAUCUCUGGAACCCUCUAGAAAUAGGGGGGGUGCCUUCGGGAGCCAGAUGACAGGUGUUGCACGGUCGUCGUCAGCUCGUGCUAUGAAGUGUCCCGUUAAGUCGGUUAACGAGCGCAACCCCUGCUGUUUGUUGAAUUUUUCAAACAGGACUGCCGGCGUUAAGUCGGAGGAAGGUGGGGAUGACGUCAGAUCAGCGUGGCUCUUACGUCCUGGGCGACACUCGUGUUACAAUGGGUAGUCACAAAGGGUUGCAAUACCGUAAGGUGGAGCUAAUCCCAUAAAACUACCCCCAGUUCGGAUUGAGGGCUGCAACUCGC